rnacentral:rRNA from 1 species
UAGAGUUUGAUCAUGGCUCAGGAUGAACCUUUACGGGAGGCUUAACACAUGCAAGUCGAGCGGGAUUAGCCCCUAUGCUAUGAGAGCGGCGCACGGGUGCGUAACGCGUAUGCAACCUGCCUUAUGCCGGGGGAUAGCCCAUGGAAACGUGGAUUAAUACCCCAUAGAACUGGAGAGCCGCAUGGUAAUUUAGUUAAAACUGAGGUGGCAUAAGAUGGGCAUGCGUCUGAUUAGGUAGUUGGUAGGGUAACGGCCUACCAAGCCGACGAUCAGUAGGGGUCCUGAGAGGGUUACCCCCCACACUGGUACUGAGACACGGACCAGACUCCUACGGGAGGCAGCAGUGAGGAAUAUUGGUCAAUGGGCGAGAGCCUGAACCAGCCAUCCCGCGUGCAGGAUGACGGCCCUAUGGGUUGUAAACUGCUUUUGUGCGAGAAUAAUAUGCCUUACGAGUAGGGUAAUGAAGGUAUCGUACGAAUAAGCAUCGGCUAACUCCGUGCCAGCAGCCGCGGUAAUA